AUUGAACGCUGGCGGAAUGCUUUACACAUGCAAGUCGAACGGCAGCACGGACUUCGGUCUGGUGGCGAGUGGCGAACGGGUGAGUAAUACAUCGGAACGUGCCCAGUCGUGGGGGAUAACGUAGCGAAAGCUACGCUAAUACCGCAUACGAUCUAAGGAUGAAAGCGGGGGAUCGCAAGACCUCGCGCGAUUGGAGCGGCCGGUGGCCGAAUAGGGAGUUGGUGGGGUAAAGGCUCACCAAGCCGACGAUCUGUAGCUGGUCUGAGAGGACGACCAGCCACACUGGGACUGAGACACGGCCCAGACUCCUACGGGAGGCAGCAGUGGGGAAUUUUGGACAAUGGGCGCAAGCCUGAUCCAGCCAUUCCGCGUGCAGGAUGAAGGCCCUCGGGUUGUAAACUGCUUUUGUACGGAACGAAAAGGCUCUGGUUAAUACCUGGGGCUCAUGACGGUACCGUAAGAAUAAGCACCGGCUAACUACGUGCCAGCAGCCGCCGUAA
rnacentral:rRNA from 1 species